rnacentral:rRNA from 1 species
UGAACGCUGGCGGCGUGCCUAAUACAUGUAAGUCGAGCGAACGGACGAGAAGCUUGCUUCUCUGAUGUUAGCGGCGGACGGGUGAGUAACACGUGGAUAACCUACCUAUAAGACUGGGAUAACUUCGGGAAACCGGAGCUAAUACCGGAUAAUAUUUUGAACCGCAUGGUUCAAAAGUGAAAGACGGUCUUGCUGUCACUUAUAGAUGGAUCCGCGCUGCAUUAGCUAGUUGGUAAGGUAACGGCUUACCAAGGCAACGAUGCAUAGCCGACCUGAGAGGGUGAUCGGCCACACUGGAACUGAGACACGGUCCAGACUCCUACGGGAGGCAGCAGUAGGGAAUCUUCCGCAAUGGGCGAAAGCCUGACGGAGCAACGCCGCGUGAGUGAUGAAGGUCUUCGGAUCGUAAAACUCUGUUAUUAGGGAAGAACAUAUGUGUAAGUAACUGUGCACAUCUUGACGGUACCUAAUCAGAAAGCCACGGCUAACUACGUG